CCAUUCAUCCAUUUGUUAGCCGUGCCCAACCCAAACAAGAUUGCUGCCGAUGUUUUUUUUCUUUAAAAACAAAAAACCUUUUUAUUUCAUUUUUCUUUGUUCAGCUUCAUUAGAAUUAAAAAAAAAAAAAAACCCUUUCAUCUCCUCAUCUUCUGUUUCCUUCAUCGGGUGUCCGAUCAAUAUCAAUAGGAUUAUUAGAGUACUUAAUAAGUUAGGGCUUCAAAAGCGAUUGAUUGAAUUGGAAAAUAUGUCUUCUUCGGGUGGUGGUGACGGUGGUAUGAUAUUAUUAUGAAGAUGAGGAUGAACAAAAAGAUACUUUGUAUCAGAACUUGAUUCACAUCGAACCAUGAUUGAUUUGUUUGGUCGUCAAAGUAUUCGAGUUUCCUGGUGCUCAUUGUUACGAUCUCGAGGUUACAAGACUUUAUCAUCCGAUCGUGUUUGUCGUCUACCAGGGAAUGAUUUUAUAGAAGGUGGAUUGUUAGACAUAUGUUUGAAGAAGAAUAUCCCAGUUUGACCCAGUUGAUCGGUUGCCCAACAAACAGUUUGGUGUCUCAUCUAUCUAAGAAGGUUGGAGGGCUAGCUGAUCGUGAGACUACGUGUGGCAUGCAUAACGUCCAUCUUGGAAGGGUAAAAUUUUGACAUUAUAGGUUGCCGGUAACUUAUUUUAACCUGGGAAGUCCAAGGGGUUGUGGGAUCAUGCAAUUGGUUCUUCGACGUGUUGCACAUAUGAAGGCUGCUGCAUAGGCUUUAGCAACUAAGCAAAAGGUAGAACAAAAACUAUUAGUCGUGGAUUUCCAGACUGCCAACAAAUGGAUACAUAGUGGUUGAACAAGGCCGAUAGAGACACAAUUCGUCCUUCAAUCAUGGAUGAGAGGAUGUAUCUUCAGCCUUAUGUUGAGAUCCAUAUUACCAUGACUUAUGGACAAUAUCCUUAGAGAUGGGUACUAUUAUGACAACACUUACAUGUGUUGUUGGUGAAGAAGGAGAAUCAGAGUUCAACCCGAUUGUGAUUUAGUAUGGAACCGACAAUUGGGACAAACAAUAAAAGAAUGGUCUUUUAGUUACCAUGAUCAAUAUAACCAUGAAUCAAGUUUGUUCACCCUUGACUUUACUAUGAUUUUGUAUUAUUAUAUGUGACUCAUAUUUUGGUC